UCUUGUGAUAUAAUCAUACAUUAUGACACCUUGCAUUAGUUCUGUGUUCUAUCUGUUUGAAGAUAAUUGCUGUCAAGGGGGAAUGAAUUCACUGGAGUAGGAAACACAGUACAAGUUUCUAGAAUGUCCUCAGGAUGAACACUCAAGAAUAUAAUAAGGAGUCCAAUAUGUGUCAGCCCAAGCCAGCUACUUCCCUCACACCCCUUCAAUGAUGCUUCUAUUAUCAAAUUCCCCUACAUCCAUUCUGACACUGGUGGCACCAAGUGGACUCAGUUGUUAAAAGAAGAAAAAAAAGCAUACAUGAAGUUAGAGAAGUACGGAGAAAGGAGUUCAAAGGAACAAACUGGGAGGUGGAUUUGAUCAAAGCACAUUCUAUAGACUGUAAAAGCAAAUCAUGAAUCCAGACAUUGUGGCACAUGUCAAUAAUCCGAACAGCGGAGAGGUUUGACAAGAUGAUCAAGACCUCAAGGCUAUCCUCAGCUAUGUUACACUCUAGGAUUUCAUUGGUGCUAGAACGUCGUCUUUCCACGACAGAGAUGACACAGCCACACAAUCUAAGUAAGAUGCCAGUCUAAAGAAGACCUAAGCACCAAUAAAACCAGUGGACAAGUUGGCAUGGAGCGUAGAAGGCUCAGAAGAUCUCAUUUCUAUAUAAAGAGCUUCUGACAAUGAAUGACUAGUCUAAGAGAGGAGUAUUGGUCUUCUCCAGUCUUCAAGGAAAGGAACCCCUGAGAGAUUAUCUGAUCUAAAGGGUCAUUCCUAAUAAGGUCUACAUAUGAGCAAUAAUAAAUGAACUCAUCUGGUAAGAGUA